rnacentral:rRNA from 1 species
UACGUAGGGUGCAAGCGUUAAUCGGAAUUACUGGGCGUAAAGCGUGCGCAGGCGGUUCGUUGUGUCGGCGGUGAAAGCCCCGGGCUCAACCUGGGAAUGGCCGUUGAAACUGGCGAACUGGAGUGUGGCAGAGGGGGGGUGGAACUCCGCGUGUAGCAGUGAAAUGCGUAGAGAUGCGGAGGAACACCGAUGGCGAAGGCAGCCCCCCUGGGCUAACACUGACGCUCAGGCACGAAAGCGUGGGGAGCAAACAGG